rnacentral:rRNA from 1 species
UUUACCUACGGGGGGCAGCAGUCGGGAAUAUUGCGCAAUGGAGGAAACUCUGACGCAGUGACGCCGCGUAUAGGAAGAAGGUUGUCGGAUUGUAAACUAUUGUAGACAGGGCAGAAGAAAGACAGUACCUGUAGAGUAAGCUCCGUCUAACUACGUGCCAGCAGCCGCGGUAAUACGUAGGGAGCAAGCGUUAUCCGGAAUUAUUGGGUGUAAAGGGUGCGUAGACGGGAAUACACGUUAGUUGUGAAAUCCCUCGGCUUAAGUGAGGAACUGCAACUAAAACUAUAUUUCUGUAGUGCGCGAGG